UUUUUUAAUAUUUCUUUUUAAAUUUCCAAAAAUAUAACCCGGCGGACGCCCCUGCUCAACUUUACUUCUUAUUUUAAUCAGUUCUCGUACUGAUUAUCUUAAGGUUGGUCCUAUAACUGGACCGGACUGGAUAAAUAAGGACGGGCACAACACUAAUUCCCUCAUUCCCGGAUUAUAAUUAUGACUUAUUAUUAAAUAAUAUGAUAAUCAUGAUUGAUUUUUCAAAUUUGAUCAUUUCUUCUCCUUCCGCAUUACCUCUACACGUACAAUCUUAAUGAAACUUUACUUAGAACAAUUUGUUGGCCUCAAGUUAUAACGUUGGAUAUGAUUGACCUUCAACAAAAAUGACUUUCUAUACCCGAGCUUCUCUUCUGAUUGCUUGCCUGCCUUCCAUAGUUAUAUGAAUACCAAUAUAAUGUACCUGCAUGACCUUAUAAUUAUAAUCCUUCUAAAUAA
rnacentral:lncRNA from 1 species